rnacentral:rRNA from 1 species
GAUGAACGCUGGCGGCGUGCCUAAUACAUGCAAGUCGAGCGUACAGACGAGGAGCUUGCUCCUCUGACGUUAGCGGCGGACGGGUGAGUAACACGUGGAUAACCUACCUAUAAGACUGGGAUAACUUCGGGAAACCGGAGCUAAUACCGGAUAAUAUAUUGAACCGCAUGGUUCAAUAGUGGAAGACGGUUUUGCUGUCACUUAUAGAUGGAUCCGCGCCGCAUUAGCUAGUUGGUAAGGUAACGGCUUACCAAGGCGACGAUGCGUAGCCGACCUGAGAGGGUGAUCGGCCACACUGGAACUGAGACACGGUCCAGACUCCUACGGGAGGCAGCAGUAGGGAAUCUUCCGCAAUGGGCGAAAGCCUGACGGAGCAACGCCGCGUGAGUGAUGAAGGUCUUCGGAUCGUAAAACUCUGUUAUUAGGGAAGAACAAAUGUGUAAGUAACUAUGCACGUCUUGACGGUACCUAAUCAGAAAGCCACGGCUAACUACGUG